UCUACGUCGGCGACCGGCGCACGGGUGCGUAACGCGUAUGCAACCUACCCAUUACAGGGGGAUAACACUGAGAAAUCGGUACUAAUACCCCAUAACAUCCAGGGAGGCAUCUUCUUGGGUUGAAAACUCCGGUGGUAAUGGAUGGGCAUGCGUUGUAUUAGUUAGUUGGUGGGGUAACGGCUCACCAAGACAACGAUACAUAGGGGGACUGAGAGGUUAACCCCCCCACAUUGGUACUGAGACACGGACCAAACUCCUACGGAAGGCAGCAG
rnacentral:rRNA from 1 species